CUCUUCCAGAAGCUCCAGGAACCCUUGGGAAGGCACUCUACACCCUGCGGCACGUUGGUGGGGAAGGACAGGCCCUGGUGAGGCUUCCGGGGCGCCCCGCCUCCUAGGAGAGACCUGAACGUCCCCGGAAAUGAACCAGAGCGUCCGCGCACAGCACAGGCGCCACCGUCCCGGCUCUAAAUAUAAAACCUUCUGUUUUAGCAAAUGAAUGCGCGAGGAGGCCGGCUCACGCUCUGCAAGCAUGAGGCGGAGCUGAGGGCUUCACGGUCCACCUCUACAGAGAGGCAGGAGGAGAAAAUGCCAGUAAAAAGCCAGGCAGCCGGAGAGCAGGGGCCACUCCUGGAGGUGCUUAGGGGACCAUAUUGGGUGCCGAAGAUCAAAUCCAAGUAGAGAUCAGGACCAGGAGGAUUCCUCCACGGCUUGGAAGCCGGCCUCACAUGCCGGGGCAAAGGCAGCUGAGACAGAGGGGGGACCACCAAGCAAAGGUCGCUUGCAGGGCUGGCUCGGGACGGGAGAUGCGUGCUGAAAGUAGACCGUGGAGCAAACAGGAUGGCCACUUAG